GGACAGCAGGAGGAAGAAGGCAAGAGAGCAAGAGCCAGGGAAGGGUUUGUAAUGGCAGAACCCACAAGAAGACCUUGAGUGUCUGCAUGAACAAGCCAGGAGCUGUGCCACUCGGCACAAGCAGGUUCAGAAGCCAAAAAAACAGGCAGUCCUGUCAUAAUGGUAGAUGGUCACAGAUGGGGGGAGGGGUCACUGAGUCACGGUUACUGGGAACUUACCUUCAGGGACCGGAGUGAGAGACAAAUGGCUAGUGGGCACCAAGAUGCAAGAUUCCUAGCAUAAAAUGGAGGGGUCCAGUCAUCAUAUUCCCUAAUGGCUCUAUUAGAGUGAGGUGGGGGAAUUUAAACUUAGGGCUCCUGAUAACGGUAGUAUAUGACAUCGAUAUUUACAAAUGAGAAUUAGGAUGUGUAAAGCAAAGAGACAGAGAAAAUGAACAUCAAGGUAAAAUUUGGUAGCCAUGAAGUAAGCCAUUUGGUUAGACCUCAGCCCCUAUCUGGAGUAACCUUUUUUUAUGUUUUAGUGGUGGGUUGGUUUUUUGUUUUUUUGUUUUUUGUUUUUUGUUUUUUUUUUGAGAUGGGCUUUCUCUGUGUAAACCUGGCUGUCUGGAAACUCAAUGUGUAGACAGGCUGGCCUCUAACUCAAGAGAUUUGCCUGCCUCUGCCUCCCAAGUGCUGGGAUUAAAGGCGUGCCAUCACACCCAGAUGAGUAACCCCUUUUAUAAUUCUCCAAUUUGAGCAAGUAUUUUUAAAGUGUUGCAAAUGUUUAUGAACUUUGUCUUAGUUCGGGUUUUACUGCACUAAAGUGUCCUAGGGGACAGCAUGAGCUUUGCUAUCUAACAGGCAUCAUGGAUUAGAUAGCUACUGGUUGGUCCCUUUUGCCAGAGAGAAGGGAAGUGACCUCCUUUUGGUAGGGAGGAACUAGUUUCCUUUGGACCUAUCAUUCCAGCCUUUAGUUAAUGAUAAGGGACAAAGUACUCUCUUCUAUAACUGUGUGUCAGUUAAAAACUGGGACUUUGUGGUCAGGGCUCAUGAAGGCUACAAAGCUGGUCAAAGGCUGGGAGUGGGCGGGGCGUCUCUGGUGUGCUGCCCAGGUUUUGCUGGACUGUGUGGAGCUAGUGAGGUGCAGGUCUGUUUGAAAGGAGUAGGUCGGAAUGCUGGCCUACAGUGGAACUCAAGCUGGUAGGACAUUUUGUUAGAAGCUCCUGGUACGAGUCAGAUUUCAACAAGGUCAGGGACUGCGGCCAUUGUGGUGUAGUUGAUUGGAGAUCUGCUGGGACAGAUAGAGACUUUAGGUGGGGAAGCUUAGGCUAUUGACUGUCAGGAGUUCUUAUCUGGAGUCUGUUUGACAGGUGGAUCCAAGUCGCAACUUCCCUGAAGCUUACACGAAAUGAUUUUUAAAGUUAACAGUUUUAGAUACAUUGGCAUCACCACUGUUUGUGAUCUGCACUGAAGUCCUCAUUAUAGAAAAAGCAGUUAACCAGUGUCUGCAAACAGCUGGAGUUGACCCACGUCUUUGAGCCAUUGCAAAAGCUUGGGGACCCCCAAGGUGGUUGGUACCGAGAGCAGUCAUUGAAAAGCAAGUUGUGCUGGGUGGUACUGGCACACACCUGCAGAGGCUGGUGGACCUCUGAGUUCAAGACCAGCCUGGUCUACCGAGUGAAUUCCUGGACAGCCAGAGCUGCACAGAGAACCCUGUCUGGAAAAGACCCUGCCUCUUUCUGUCCCC
rnacentral:lncRNA from 1 species